rnacentral:tRNA from 1 species
GGACCCUUAGCUCAGUUGGUUAGAGCAGCCGGCUCAUAACCGGUAGGUCCCGGGUUCGAGUCCCUGAGGGUCCA